rnacentral:lncRNA from 1 species
GAAGGUGGAAAACGGCCUGGUGGUGGAUCACUGUGCACGCCUACUGCCUGGGGGAGCAAAACAUUAAAAGGGUGAGUGGACCCAAAAACAAAGUUUAGAAAAAUACAUAUGAACAUAUUAACCCCACUGUAAAAACAGUUAUACAAACUAAAUUAUAUAUAUAUGCCAAUCAUACUCAUGGUCAACAUUAAUUUCUUGAAAGCAAUGAAAAC